UAAAUUUUUAAGUCUUAAAAUUUGUAAUCUCUGUAGCACAAUGUCUUGUGGUGGACGUCCAUCCUUGUCCUUUGUCACGUCGAAGACAUGCUCUAGUUGAGAACAAUCAGUUAUCUGAAUAGAUUCCAAAUAUGGAAGUCCUUGAGCCAAAGUGAUUGGAAACACAUAUUUUAAUCUUUCGCAAUUAAUUAUCUUGAGAGUUCUCAACUUAGGCCAACAGAGAGGACAAUCAUCCAUGUUUGAAACUAUCUCAUCCUCAUUUUCUGCUUCUCCAAAGAUUAUAUGUUCCAUUGAGUCGCAAUGGCUUAUUUUGAGUUCUUCCAAAUGCACCAAACUUUGAGCAAGGGGAGUUGGAAAGAGAUAUACCACCUUCAAACACUUCUCUAUUCUCAUAGUCUUCAGACUUUGGAGUUUAACAAGAUGGAUGGGCCCUUUCCAUAUCCACUUCAAUUCUGGUAAUGCGGAUAGCUCCAAAUAAGUUAAAUCAGAGAGUGGGCGUACCUGACAUGAAUUCAUUGAUUGAAAAUGUAUAUAAAUAUAUUGACAAGACAUACAUACAAAGGUAAUAAUAAUAAUUAUUGAAUAAUAUAUUAUUAAAUAGAGAAUAAAAAAAGAGAAAAAAUAUAAUGACUUUAUAAAGUGUGUUAAUAAAGAGAAAAAAAAGAUACAUGACGGUAGUUUUCUCAACCUGUAAGCUAUGUAAUAAAUAAACAUUUAAAUUAAUUACUAAUAUAAUUUAAUUAAACUUUCUUUCUUUCAAACUUAAACAAAAGUUAAUUAUAUGAAGAAUACAUAAAAUUUAAUAUUUUCUUACUAUUUAUUAAAAGAGAAAUAGAAAAAGAAGAGGUACCUCAAGCUCAACCAUUUCUUGAGAAAAAUUAAAGAUUUGCUCUAAUCCUUCACAGAAUUGUACGGAGAGUUGUUGCAGAUGCAACAAACUAUGAGCAAGGGGAGUUGGAAAGAGAUAUGCCAGCUUCAAACACUUCUGUAUUCUCAUAGUCUUAAGACUUCGGAGUUCAACAAGAUGGGUGGGCCCUUCUUGUGGUGGACGUCCAUCCUUGUCCUUUGUCACAUCGAAGACAUGCUCUAGUUGAGAACAAUCAGUUAUCUGAAUAGAUUCCAAAUAUGGAAGUCCUUGAGCCAAAGUGAUUGGAAACACAUAUUUUAAUCUUUCGCAAUUAAUUAUCUCGAGAGUUC
rnacentral:lncRNA from 1 species